AACAAUGUGGUAAAAAGUAUAAGUAAAGAUUCCUUGAUUAAUUUAGGGUUAUUUUUAUUUUCGAUUGAGAUGUAUUUUUAUGUUUUGAUUGAUAAAUGGGAAUAAUUUUUAGUUUAUUUAAUUAACGAGUCUUGGUAAUUUUUGAAAACCGGUGUUGAGAUAUAGUUUUGAUUGGUUUUAGUUAAUAGAUUUUAGAUUUAUUGAUAUAAGACUUUUUG
rnacentral:misc_RNA from 1 species